rnacentral:lncRNA from 1 species
AACCUUUCAAUUUUAUAUUGUCUGCUCUCGGCUUAUGAAAUAGUUUUCUUUUGCUGCUUCAAAGGAUCAAAUAGAUAUAGAAUUAACAUGAAUGCAGUAUUUGACAGAUCAAAGAAGAUGCAAAGUAUUAGAUUGGCCCAAGCGUUUCCAAAUUAUCUGUGGGAUUGCUAGGGGACUCCUUUACCUUCAUCAAGAUUCCAGAUUGAGGAUUAUUCAUAGAGAUCUGAAAGCUAGUAAUGUUCUACUUGAUAGUGAGAUGAACCCAAAAAUUUCAGAUUUUGGCAUGGCAAGAACUUUUGGAGGAGACCAGACUGAAGCCAAUACAAACAGAGUGGUUGGAACUUAGUAAGUCUACUUUUUCUGCAAAUUUGAUCUAUAGAUCCCCAUGAAAAUGCAUACUUUUAUCUGACAAUGUCCUGCAGUGGUUAUAUGGCACCAGAAUAUGCUAUCGAUGGCCUGUUUUCGGUAAAAUCAGAUGUGUUUAGCUUUGGCAUAUUGUUGUUGGAGAUAAUAAGUGGAAGAAAGAAUAGAGGAUUCUAUCAUAAAAAUCAAAGCGGCAACCUUAUUGAACAUGUAAGCCUCAUUGUCAUUAUUUUUUAUUACAUAUCUUGAAUUGAUGAAUGAUAAAAGAAUUUCUUUUUGCUGCAGGCAUGGAGAUUAUGGAAAGAAGGCAAGCCUUUGAAUCUUGCUGAUGAUUUCUUAGCAGAGACUGGCAGUCUAUCACAGGUGUUACGAUGCAUCCACAUUAGCCUUUUAUGUGUACAGCAGCAUCCUGAGGGGAGGCCAAGCAUGUCAUCCGUGGUUCUGAUGUUGGGAAGUGAGAAUGAAUUGCCUCUGCCCAAACAACCUGGUUUUUUGUUUCACAAGAGUCCAUUUGAAGCAGAUUCUUCAUCCGGUAACCAUGGAUCAUCUUCGAAAAACGAAAUAAGUUUAUCAGUUUUAGAGGCUCGAUAGAGGGUGAUAUGCUUCAUUAAACCUAUUAUGCUCCAAACUAUCAGUAAUGAUUCCAAUCCCACUUGAUGUUCGGGGCAUGUGCUUUUGGACCAAAUGCUAGUGAGAAAUGUUUUAAAAAUCAACAUGCAAUCAAGUACAAAUAUUAGUGUUGCAUUUAUUCCGUGGAUAGGUAGAUUGAAGGACCAAACUAAAGCUUCAUACAGUUCAGAUAUAACUGAAGCUUCAUACGGUUAAGAUGUACAAAUUUCAUGCAAUCUCAUCACUUACAAGUUGCUGACUUCUCUUGUUUUCUACUGCAUUUGUGUAAGAUCAAGAGCCACCUAAUCUAGCCGGCUUGGGAACCUCAAUAUGAGUGUUAAUUAAUUAGUGUGAUAAAUGAAUCAACAAACUAGCUUCAUUGUCUCUACAUUAUUCUGUGCAUAAUCAAACCUGUGUCAUCAACAACAAGAAAAUAUCAUUCAUGACUAGGAUUCCUCAGUUCCUUUGCUUGACUCCAGAAGUGAACUUAGUACCAUGAGACUGUAACCUCUUUUUGGGGCGCAAACGAAUGAACUUCACAUACAAGAUUAGUCAAGCUAAGUAUCAAUUAGAACUUUAAUAGAGGCUACAGAUUCCAGGUUGAAAGAAGCUGGUGAGGUCUUCAACAAAGAUAUGUUGCAGUUUUAAGGCUGUACAGUUUUCAUCUUCAUCUUUGUUUGGUCGUGGUCCAACCCCUUUGCUUAUGGGGGCUUCGACAGGCGUUGGACGACACGUUGAUGAGGCUGUCAGGGCGCCUUAAAACAAAAAGAAAAGGGAGAGCGUCCUCAUUGUACGUGACUGACACCUGAUACGAGGUUGGCUUUGUCCGGUUUCAGACAGAUUUGGUGGGCCCAACACGUUGGCAACAUUAUCAAACGCGAGAGUGAUAAUAGAUUGGCAAAAUGAAGAACACAUCUCUCACGGAUCCACUUCAGUGAGAUAUGGUGAGGGUCUUACGAUUAUAAAUAUAAAAUUUUUACUAUUUAUUAGAUAUAUUUUUUGAUUUGAUAACAUGAUAUUGUAAUUUAUAAAUUUAGAGAUGUCAACUGGUAGGAUAUUCGUUAAUUUUGAGAUACUAAAAUCUGAAUUCGAUUAAAAAAUAAAAUACCCAAACUCGAUAAUUACCUGAAUUUUUUUUAAAUUUACUAUCCUAACUCAAAUCCUAAUACAUAAUCACUACCCGAUAAUUACUCGAACCCGUUUAAAAAUCUGAUUAUGUAAAAAAUUAUUAAAAUACUCUUUAUAGAUACCCAAUUACCCAAACUCAAAUCUGUACCUGUAUCUAUAUACAAUAAUAUUUUUAUUCAUAUUUUAUAUAAUUCACCAAUAAUUAAAUUUAUAAAAGCACAUAAAUAAUAAAAUUUAAAUUUAAAUAAUCAAAAACAAAUAUCUCAAAUAUCAACUUAAAUAAUUAAAAACAAAUAUUAAACUACAACUUAAACAUUACAAGUUUAAUUAACUAUGUGGGUUUAUCCAUGAAAUUAAAAAAAAUAAUUAUAUUCCAAAAUUAUUCUAAUCUUAUAAUUUCUUUUUAGGUAUAUAUUUUAUAAGUUUAUAUACACAAAAGUAUAUAUUAUAAAUAAUAAUUUUAUAAGUUAUAUUUUCUAUAAUGUUAAUACAAUAUAGCAAGUAAACAUGUUUAUAUUUAAAGUAUAUAUACAAUAGUAAUUGUAUUCUUCAUAAAUUAACACAAUAUAUAAAAUAUAUGUAUUAAAAGAUAUUACAAGUUAAUUAAUAAUCAUAGUUUUAUGAAUUAAUUUAAUUAAUAAUAUGAAUUUGUCUUGAAUUACAUAAAAUUAAAAAAAUAUAUAAUCAGAUUCGGGUAUCGGGUAUCCAAAGGGUGAUAUUUGAACCCUACCUGAACCCGAUACAUGUAUUUUAGGGUACUUUAACUUUAUACAAUCAGAUCAGGUACUCGUAAGUACCCUGUAACAGGAUACCUAUAGACAUCCCUAUAUAAACUUACUUAAAUUUAUUAUUCUUAAUUUUUUAAAUACAUUUUUAUUACCCAUAAACUGUUUAUUAAGUUUACGACUCAUAAGUAUUUACAAACUUACAAUAAUAUAAUAAUUACGGUAAAAUAAUUUUUUUUAUCAUUAAAUUAAAAGUUUUAAUGAUGCAACUUGUCUAUUUCUUUUUGAACAUUAUGAAACUCAUAAAAAUAUUAUUAUUAUCAUCAUAGUCUUAGUUGAAAAUGAUGGUCAACAUCUAAAAAAAAGUGAUUAUCUUCUAGAAAAAGAAUUGCCUCUGCCCAAACAACCUGGUUUUUGGUUUCACAAGAGUCCCUUUGAAGCAAAUUCUACAUCAGGCAACUGCAGAUCAUCUUCUAGAAACGAAAAAAGUCUAUCAAUGUUAGAGGCUCGAUAGAGAGUGGUAUGCUUCAUUAAACCUAUUAUGCUCCAAACCAUCAGUAAUGACUCCAAUCCCACUUGAUGUUUGGGGCAUGUGCUUUUAGAGCCAAUGCUAGUGAGAAAUGUUUCAGAAAUCAAACAUGCAAUCAAGUAUAAAUAGUAGUGUUUUGUUUAUUUCAUUUUGCUGCAGGCAUGGAGAUUAUGGAAAGAAGGCAAGCCUUUGAAUCUUGCUGAUGAUUUCUUAGCAGACACUGGCAGUCUAUCACAGGUGUCACGAUGCAUCCACAUUAGCCUCUUAUGUGUACAACAGCAUCCUGAGGAGAGGCCAAGCAUGUCAUCCGUGGUUCUGAUGUUGGGAAGUGAAAAUGAAUUGCCUCUGCCCAAACAACCUGGUUUUUUGUUUCACAAUAGUCCCUUUGAAGUAGAUUCUUCAUCAGGCAACUAUAAAUCAUCUUCGAAAAACGAAAUAAGUCUAUCAAUGUUAGAGGCUCGAUAGAGGGUGGUAUGCUUCAUUAAACCUAUUAUGCUCCAAUCCCACUUGAUGUUUGGGGCAUGUGCUUUUAGAGCCAAUGCUAGUGAGAAAUGUUACAGAAAUUAAACAUGCAAUGAAGUAUAAAUAGUGGUGUUUUGUUUAUUUCAUGGAUAGAUAAGAUUGAAGGGCCAAACUGAAGCUUCAUACAGUUAACAUAUACAAAUUCCAUGCAAUCUCAUCAUUUACAAGUUUUUGACUUAUCUUGUUUUCGGCUGCAUUUAUGUAAUAUCAAACGUAAGAGUGAUAAUAGAUUGGCAAAAUCAUGAACACAUCACUCAAGGUCAGGGGAGGGGGAUUUGGCAAAAUUAUGAAGUGGUACUAGCAAUUUUAGGAAUGGGCCGGCAUGCUUAAUGAGCUUGUAGUGGACUAUCAAUUUUCUAAUGGGCUUAUUGUGGAUCAAGGCAUGUUCUAAUGGGCUUCUAUUGGACAACAAAUAUUGAUUUUUUUUUAUUAUGGAGGGUUUAUUGAUGGUUUUUUUUGGAAUGGAUUUAUUUAUACAUAAUUACAUAUAUAUUGUAUUUAAGAAAACAAAUAAAAUUUUGAAUUUCCAUAUUACUUUUAUUCUUAAUCUUUUAAAUGUAUUUUUACUAUUCACAAACUAAUUAUUAUAUUUAUGACUCAUAAAUGUAUACAAACUAACAACGACAUAACAAUCACUGUAAAAUAUUUUUUAUUCAUGAUUAAAUCAAAAACUUUAAUGAUACAACUUGUCUAUUUCUUUUUCAACAUAAUGAAAGUCAUAAAAAUAUUAUCAUCAUAGUCAUAGUUGAAAAUGAUGGUCAACAUUUAAAAAAAAAAGUGAUUAUCUUUUUUUUAAUUAAAGUAAUAGUAGAAGUAGUCAUUGGCACGUGAGUAAAAUAGCAUAAUUAACUAGCAGAUGCUUCCGGCUUGAUGCUACUUUCAGCUUGAUUUUGUCAUAACAAUAAUGUUGCCUUAAUAAUUAGUAAUUAUGUCAUUCACCAUGUAUUUUUGUUGGUUUUUGAAAGUUCUCUUUAGAUUUGCUGGCAUGACUUCAAAAUUAUAUAUAAUUAAAUAAUAUAUAUAAAUAUAUAUGUAUAAUAUUGUUUUAAAGAAGAAAAAGAAAGGAAAAUGGAGUUCUAUGUGCCAAAAAAUUGAUUUUAUUUGUUGAAUCAAAUAAAAAAUAAUUAAAUGUAUAAUUGAUAAAUCGUGUAUAAAAUUUUAAAAAAGAGAGUAUAUCUAUUAAUUAGAAAUAAUAAUUGAUUAUAUAAAUAUGUGAUUAAUUUUAAUUGAUUAACUAUUUUAAAUUAAUUACAUUAAUGAAUUAACUAAUUAAUUAGUUAAUUAAAUUAAUUAACUAACUAAUUUAUUUAUAAAAUAAUUUAAAUUAAUUAAUUUAAUUCUUUAAAACUUAACUAAUUUACUAAAAAUAAAUAUUUAGUAAUUUCACAUAUUUUAAUAUAUAAAUAUUUAGUAUUUAAAUAUUAGGUUAGUUUUGUCAUGCUAUUAUUUAUUAUUUUAAGGGAUAAAGUUGAAAAAUUAAAAAUUUACAUUAAAAAAAGGUAAGUUUGAAAAUAUAAAGGGAAUUUUUUAAAUUUACAUUACAUUCUCAUACUUCCAAACCAAAGACUACCAUCUAAUCUUCCCAACAAUUAUAUUACAUGCAAUCAUCAUUUUUCUAUGAUAUAUAAAACAUUCUAAAGUUUUUUUCAUCCAUCAUAUUCCCUGCAAUUAUCAUAUUUUUAUAUUAUACAAAACGUUGCAAAGUUCUUCUCAUUCAUCAUAUUCCCUGCAAUCAUCACUUUUUCAUAUUAUAUCAAUGUUGCAAAAUUCUUCUCAUCAAUAACAUUCUCAGUAAUCAAAUUAUUAACAAUUACAUUUUCAAUAAAAUAUAUAAAAAAAAAACACGGUUUAUACUAUCAAGAACAAACUAAUUAACAUGAAAAUAGGGGAAAUUGACACGAAGUCAAUUCCAUCGGACCCUUAGGACUUGUGAUUGCAAUUUUUUGUAAAUUCAGCCUAAAAGUAUAGGAAGACUUGACUUUUUGGUAAUCAUGUCGACUUCAUAAUGGUUAUUGAGAAGAAAAAAUCUCCCUGACGUACGUUUUUUUUAAGUCUAGAGAUGCAUGUUUACUUAAUUACUUGCACGUUGAGUGGUCUUGGUUUAAGUCAUAGUCUUACGGUCUAGUAGUGUACAAUGAAAUUAAUUUUAGAGGUUACUUUAUGAUAAAACCUAAGUGUAAAGUUCCCUGAUUUUUUUGUGUAACAAAGAAUUUUAGCAUCUUCGGUUUACUGAAACAGUUGGGAGCUCUACAUUAAGCUAGGGCGGACAAGAAUAUUCUGUUUCAUGGUUUUUUAAACUUUAAGUUACUUAACUGCAACUUAUUUCAGUUCCUAUUUCUCAAUAAUCUUAACUUCACAGCCAUCAUGUUAGUUAAAGAUAUUUCCAUCUCCAGGAAGAAGUUGAGGCCUAUAGAAUAGUUGUCGUCUCUGUCACGAUUGAUGAAGAAUUUCAAGGUCAAUGGACCCAAAGUCUUGCCUUGAAGCCUGAAGGUCAAUGCUGUUUAGAAUGUUCAAUCAAAUGGCAUCUAUUCUUAUCUUCAAAGCAAAAAGCUUUCAGACUAUACAUCCAUGGACAUGGAUAUCCUUUCUUUCAGUGCUUGUUUCCUCAUCAUCUUCACCAAAGCUUCCAGCGCACCCGACAGGAUUUCUCCGUCUGAGUCACUCACUGAUGGCACGACCUUGGUCUCUAGUGAUGGAAGCUUUGUAUUGGGUUUCUUCACUCCGGGGAGUUCUAAGAAUCGUUACUUGGGAAUUUGGUACAAUAACAUCCCCAUGCAAACUGUUGUAUGGGUUGCAAACAGGAUAAAUCCGAUAAAUGACACCACUGGCUUGCUGCAGAUAGAAAGCACUGGCAGAGUCGUGCUUCUAGGUCAGAACCAAACAACUGUUUGGUCAAUUAAUUCCACAGAAGCAGCUCAGAAUCCGAUUCUGCAGCUCCUGGAUUCAGGCAAUCUUGUUGUCAGAAAUGGAAAAGAUGGUGAUUCAGAGAACUACUUGUGGCAAAGCUUUGAUUAUCCAACUGAUACAAUGUUACCGGCGAUGAAGAUUGGUUGGGACCUGAGAACUAAUUUAAAUCGAAGACUAGCAGCAUGGAAGAACUCAGAUGAUCCAUCUCCUGGGGACCUUACUUAUGGGGUGGAACUCCAAGGCAAUCCAGAGGUGGUGCUGCGGAAAGGCUCAGAAAAGUACCAUCGCAGUGGCCUCUGGAAUGGCGAUGGAUUUAGUGGUGCACAAAAUUUAAGAUCAAAUCCGGUCUAUGAGUACGACUUUGUCUGGAAUGAGGAGGAGGUGUACUACAUAAAUUACCUCAAAAAUAAAUCGGUGAUGUCAAGGUUAGUUUUGAACCAAACUGAAAAGGUUAGACAGCGGUACACAUGGAACCCAGAAACUCAAACUUGGAUGUUGAUUUCCAUCAUGCCAAGUGACUGUUGUGACAUACUUGGACUUUGUGGUGCAAAUGGGAACUGCGAUAAUUCCACGCUUCCAGCUUGCCAAUGUUUGAAAGCAUUCAGGCCUAAAUCGCUGGAAAGAUGGAACUCCUUAGACUGGUCUGAAGGGUGUAUACACAAUAAGCCAUUAAACUGCCAAAGCGGAGAUGGAUUUAUUAGAAUUGAGAGGGUGAAAACGCCAGAUACCUCACAUUCUUGGGUGAGCAAAAGUAUGAAUCUCGAGGAAUGCAGGGCUAAGUGCUUGCAGAACUGUUCUUGUAUGGCAUACACUAAUUUAGAUAUUAGAGGAGGAGGUAGCGGCUGCGCCAUGUGGUUUGGUGAUCUAAUUGAUAUUAAACAAUUUCAAUCAUUUGGCCAGGAUCUUUACAUCAGAGUCUCUGCUUCAGAAGCAGGUAUCAGUUUAAAAUCGGAACAUUUUCUUGUUACAGCUUGUGAUAAUUUCUUUUGGAAAUUGUUUAAUUAUACUUGGGCUCCUUCAUCAAUAAUGAUCAUGCAGAACUGAAAAACAAGGCUAAGGCGAAGCUGGCCGUGAUAAUUGCAACACCAAUUGCUAUGUUCUUGGGGCUUCUUGUAGUCAUUUAUUACAUCCGGAGAAGGAGAAGAAAAUUAGAAGGUAAUAUCAACUAUGGUCCUCAUUAAAGCAGGGGAAAGUUGGUAUUUGAUACAAAUACCAAAAUCGUUUCUGCUCACAGCACCGCUAUCAGAUCCCUGCCCUGUUUUCAAGAAAACAGUAAUACUAAAAUUUGUCAUUUCUCUUAUCAAAUUUGAUAAUACAUGGUUUUCAAUUUUGUUUUAUGAUCUGACAAAAAAGUGAGUCCAUGAACAAUUGGUUCGAUAUUUUUGGUUUUGGUGUUCAGAAGAAGCAUACAGCUUUUGUCUAUCUAAAUCUAUCAAUAUGCAUGAGAAAGCGUAUCUCUGUGUUGAAUGCUAGCCUAUUUUGACUACUGUUUCAGAUGAAGUUAAAGAAAGGAUUUUAAAUGAUCAAAAGAACCAAGGCCAGAGUGAAGAUAUGGAGCUUGCUGUAUUCGAGCUAGCUACGAUAGCCAGAGCUACUGGUAGUUUUUCUUUUAAUAACAAGCUAGGUGAAGGAGGUUUUGGACCUGUUUAUAAGGUAAAAGUAAGCACAUAUUACUAAAGUGAUCUCAAGCACGGAGAAUUCAUCUUUAUUGAAAGCUCAUCAAAAUAUUCCUAGUCUCCAGGGGACACUUGCAAAUGGACAAGAAAUUGCUGUGAAAAGACUUUCAAAGAGUUCCGGACAAGGAUUGAACGAGUUUAAAACUGAAGUAAAGUUGAUUGCCAAACUUCAGCAUCGGAAUCUUGUAAGGCUUCUUGGGUGCUGCAUUCAUGGAGAGGAGAAAAUGCUGGUUUAUGAAUACAUGCCUAACAGAAGUCUUGACUCAUUUAUUUUUGGUCAGAAACCUUUCAAUUUUAUAUUGUCUGCUCUCGGCUUGUGAAAUAGUUUUCUUUUGCUGCUUCAAAGGAUCAAAUAGAUAUAGAAUUAACAUGAAGGCAGUACUUGACAGAUCAAAGAAGGUGCAAAGUAUUAGAUUGGCCCAAGCGUUUCCAAAUUAUCUGUGGGAUUGCUAGGGGACUACUCUACCUUCAUCAAGAUUCCAGAUUGAGGAUUAUUCAUAGAGAUCUAAAAGCUAGUAAUGUUUUGCUUGAUAGUGAGAUGAACCCAAAAAUUUCAGAUUUUGGCAUGGCAAGACUUUUGGAGGAGACCAGACUGAAGCCAAUACCAAC